UACGUAGGCAGCGAGCGUUGUUCGGAGUUACUGGGCGUAAAGGGUGUGUAGGCGGUUCUCUAAGUUUGGUGUGAAAUCUCCCGGCUCAACCGGGAGGGUGCGCCGAAAACUGGAGGGCUAGAGUGCGGGAAGGGAGAGUAGAAUUCCUGGUGUAGCGGUGAAAUGCGUAGAUAUCUGCAGGAACACCCGUGGCGAAAGCGGCGCGCUGGACCACUACUGACGCUGAGGAACGAAAGCUAGGGGAGCAAACAGG
rnacentral:rRNA from 1 species